UAUAACAUCCAGUGAUGGUCAAACUGUUCACUUUCAUUCUGAAACUGCUGGCGUGGGCACGAGUGGACAGCUGCAGUACACACUCCCAUGUCUGCUGUGAGCUGAGUCUUGGCCUGUGGCCAGCUGUGUACGAAGAUGGCAGGCUUAUGGGAGGAUGUCCACUCCCACUGACCCUGGCAUUGCCUGAGUCCCUUGCCUACCUGGGCUGGGCCAAGACCCAACUGCAAUCAAUUGUCUGGGGUCCACUCGCUGCUGUGGUCUCUGCCUUUGUGCUCACCUCAAGGGUACCUCCCUUGGGAGAUCAAUCCCCUGUCCUCCUGC
rnacentral:lncRNA from 1 species